ACUAAGAAAAAGGAAAACAAGUCCUCCGUCUUCGAUGUCAUAUUUUUUAAAAAUGUGCAGAGUUGUGCUCUUUAUUGUUUUGACGCUAUUGCUGCUUUCGUGCGGCAUACUGCACAAGCUUUACUUCUUGACCCUUCUGAAUAAUCUCUCUGAGAAACUGCAUGCUCCAGUCCAUAGCGAUUUGUCGAAAGUUGAAAACAAGAAAAGUCAAGCAAUUUCAAUUCUCGUGUGCAUUGCAUUUGUUGAAUUCUGCACAUCUCUUGUUACUCUUUGGAGAGUUGUUUUCCAAGAUCAGAAGACUAAUUGGACACGACAACACUUAGUGACAGCUAUCCAGCAGGCCGUGAGCACUAUUGGAGAGGUAUAUUUGAUCAUCUAUGCCCUUCCAUUACUGGGCAGUUUGAGGGCAUGUUUAGUUGUAACAGUUCUACCACUUAUGUCAAGCAUAUGCAAGUUCGUGAGCACAAUUGGUCGGCUCAGGGUCAAGCGAUGUAUUAGAAAAGGUUCUUUACUCAAACUUUGUGUAGCGGGUUUCCCGGUUUUGGCACUGGCAGGGAGUGUUUUCUUAUUCAUGAAUGGGCUAAUACCAUUUGACAGAGACUUGCACCUAAAAUGGGCGUUACCAACUCUUUAAAUGUGUAAGUCAGUAUGCUAUUUGGAUAAUUUUCUUUGCUGAAGAAGAACUGCAAAUGUUCCAAAACAAACAACAGGUGAACCAGAUUCCCAUUCGGAGACAAGUGAAUCUAAAAUAGAAGAAAAACAGUACAAGACAGAACAUAAACAAGAAUUUAUUCAAUUAACUGUUCGUUGGUUAAUAUGUUUAUUGUUUAUCAUUUCGAUAGUGUUGAAUUUAAAUAUAAAACUAAUAGGAAUAGUCGACAAACAGAAAAAUUCUGAAUCAUCUCUGACAAACGAGAACAUCGAAUCUUUAGCGUACAAUUCAACAACAAAUUCCACACUCGUACCACAACAGGAGAAUGGAAAUGUGACAUUAGA